rnacentral:rRNA from 1 species
UACGUAGGGGACGAGCGUUGUCAGGAAUUACUGGGCGUAAAGGGCGCGCAGGCUGUUAUGCGAGUCUGCUGUGAAAUGUACCGGCUCAACCGGUGCCUUGCGGCGGAUACUGCAUAGCUGGAGUACUGGAGAGGGAAGUGGAAUUCACGGUGUAGCGGUGAAAUGCGUAGAUAUCAGGAGGAACACCGAUGGCGAAGGCAGGUCUCUGGGCAGUAACUGACGCUGAGGAGCGAAAGCAUGGGUAGCGAACAGGA